GACGAACCGUGCGAACGUUGUUCGGAAUCACUGGGCUUAAAGGGCGCGUAGGCGGCUUCCCAAGCCCGGGGUGAAAUCUUUCGGCUUAACCGGAAAAGGGCCUCGGGGACUGGGGGGCUAGAGGGAGGUAGGGGCAAGCGGAACUUCCGGUGGAGCGGUGAAAUGCGUUGAUAUCGGAAGGAACGCCGGCGGCGAAAGCGGCUUGCUGGACCUCAUCUGACGCUGA
rnacentral:rRNA from 1 species